rnacentral:piRNA from 1 species
UCUGUACAAAGUACUUUAUUCUACCCAACA